ensembl:processed_transcript A430010J10Rik RIKEN cDNA A430010J10 gene
AGAACUACUUGCUCAGUCUGAAAUGGCAGGCUUCUGUGUCCUUGCCAGUCUCUGUGCUGACAGGAACAAGGAAGGGCCUCUGUCCAGGGACACCAUGCUGUGCUGCAGACACUGUCUCAUUUAACCCUCAUGGAAGCCCAAGGGCUAGGAUUCUAACAGCAGGCCACAGCUGUCCCUGUCCUUGGGGCUUGCAGACAACUGGAUAGCCGAGUGUGUGGGUCCACGAGAUAGCUUGGAAAGUAAGGGUGUUUGCUGCCAAGCCUGAUGACCCAGAAUUCACAUUAUAAGGAAAGAGAACCGAUCCGCAGGAGCCCGUGUCUGCAUGCAGGACUCUGAAAAUAUGAAGCUUUACCUGAGCAGGAAAUAGACAGCCACAUCCUGCUUGGCAGUCAGGGGGCAGAGAGCAAGAGAUGCUGGACCUGAACUGGGCUUUUGAAACCUCAAAGCCCCCCCCCAGCAGCAUAACUCCUCCAACAAGAUAUGUCUGCUCACUAGAAUGUGCACUUCUUGGACACGAGUCACACUCCCCAGAUCAGGAUAAGGCCUGCUUGUGUUUGCUGAGAUAAUAAAUGAGUGGACAAAGAAGCUGGAGAUGAGACUCUCACAGAGCAGAUUUCUCUGAGGGGAGAAACCAAAGCCUCAAAGCCCAGCCUGAGAGCUAAGGAGAUGACCUGGGAGGUUAAGAACACUGGCUGUGCCUGUGGAGGACACAAGUUUGGUUCCUAGCAUCCACAUAGGACAACACGGAACUUCUAUAAAUCCAGCCGCCCAGGAUCCGACAUCCUCUGCUGGUACUUACACUCAUUCAUAUUCACACCAUUUAAAGACUUUUGAAUGAAUCUUAAAAAUAGAAAAGAAACAAACAAGAGUAAGAAACCAAGCCUGGCAUUUAGCCCAUGUUUCCAACCCUUUAGAUGGGUUAUUUCAAUUAACUUUCAGAAUUAAACCACAAAGAGGGUUAGGGGUAUAGCCCAUUUUAAGAGGUGCUUGCCUAGCAUACACUACACCUGGUUCUGAUCCCAGGGCACAUAUACACAAAAGUAGAGAGAUUAGUCUCCUCCAAGGGGGUGAGAGCACUGCCUAACACCACAUUAGCUAACACACGAUGGUCAUGAGCACAGGAUGUCACAUCACGCCCCAGGUGAUCUGUGCAUGUCUUCAUUGCUGUCAUUUAAUUCUACCUGACAUUUCUGUUUACCAUUCUGAUUACCAAGGGAGAUUCGUGUAAUUUCCUGUCAUCCACCCAGUGUUAGCAAAACGUUAAGUCUUGACCAUGAAGGAAUUGUCUGGAUCUACUUGGGGCUGAUCAGUAAGUGGCCACUCUUUGCAAGUGUUUGCACAGAUGGCUGCCUCAGUACACAGAGGUGCUCUAGCUAUAAGGACGGAGGGCAUAAAAACAGUAAGCUGGGCUCGGGGCACAGUACACUACUGGGAGAGCGAGGCUUAGAAUGUCCAAGGUCCUGAGGUACCUUAUGUUUACAAUGAGGCAAAUCUGGGCAAGAGAUAGUCAGGCGUUCAAGGAGCAAACAAGUGGGAAAAGAUGGAAGUGUUUGGAGGAGACUCGAAGCUUUGUGUUUCCUCUUUGAAUCAUUUACUUCUCCAGCUAGUUAUUCUUUACGUUGUUUGCAAGGUCUUGUCUUUCCCAUUUGAAACGCAGUUGGCCAGCAGCUGGAGAUGCUGAACACUGGCGUGUAUAAAACCCUAGGCUCCAUUCUCAACAGGUUUAAAAAAAAAAAAAAAAGGCUAGUCACUCCUCCUGCUCCAGCAGACCAGGUUGUGACUUCCGGGGCUGCAGUGGCUAAGGACAGUGUUUCAGCAACAUAACAUAAUCAUAAAGACCUCUGCCUUUAUUGUCUGUUUCAGUCUAUGCCACAUGAAACCCUAACCAAGUUCUUCCACCAGUAAGCCAGUUAAAACAGCCAAGUUCGCAGUGAAAGAGCUGAAAACGGAAGAGGGACAAAGAGAACAGCUGAUCAGGAUUCCUCUUCCAGAGCCAAACGUGAGGUUAGGUUUAAAUUGAGGCCAGAGUUGAUAGUUUCCUGAUU